rnacentral:rRNA from 1 species
AUUGAACGCUGGCGGAAUGCUUUACACAUGCAAGUCGAACGGCAGCACGGGGGCAACCCUGGUGGCGAGUGGCGAACGGGUGAGUAAUACAUCGGAACGUGCCCGGUCGUGGGGGAUAACGUAGCGAAAGUUACGCUAAUACCGCAUACGAUCUGAGGAUGAAAGCGGGGGACCUUCGGGCCUCGCGCGAUCGGAGCGGCCGAUGCCAGAUUAGGUAGUUGGUGGGGUAAAGGCCUACCAAGCCGACGAUCUGUAGCUGGUCUGAGAGGACGACCAGCCACACUGGGACUGAGACACGGCCCAGACUCCUACGGGAGGCAGCAGUGGGGAAUUUUGGACAAUGGGCGCAAGCCUGAUCCAGCCAUUCCGCGUGCAGGACGAAGGCCUUCGGGUUGUAAACUGCUUUUGUAUGGAACGAAAAGGCUCUGGCUAAUACCUGGGGCUCAUGACGGUACCGUAAGAAUAAGCACCGGCUAACUACGUG